UACGAAGGGGGCUAGCGUUGUUCGGAAUUACUGGGCGUAAAGCGCGCGCAGGCGGUCUUCCAAGUCAGUGGUGAAAGCCCGGAGCUCAACUCCGGAACUGCCAUUGAAACUGUUAGACUUGAGGAUGAGAGAGGUGAGUGGAAUUCCCAGUGUAGAGGUGAAAUUCGUAGAUAUUGGGAAGAACACCAGUGGCGAAGGCGGCUCACUGGCUCAUUUCUGACGCUCAGGCGCGACAGCGUGGGGAUCAAACAGG
rnacentral:rRNA from 1 species